AAUGAACGCUGGCGGCGUGCUUAACACAUGCAAGUCGAACGAGAAAUUUCCCGCUUGCGGGAGAGAGUAAAGUGGCGCACGGGUGAGUAACGCGUGGAUAAUCUACCCUUGAAUCCGGAACAACAUUGCGAAAGCGAUGCUAAUACCGGAUGACAUCUUUUUUCCUUCGGGUUUAAAGAUCAAAGACGGCCUCUUCUUGAAAGCUGUCGUUUGGGGAUGAGUCCGCGUACCAUUAGCUUGUUGGUGAGGUAACGGCUCACCAAGGCUGCGAUGGUUAGCUGGUCUCAGAGGAUGACCAGCCACACUGGAACUGAGACACGGUCCAG
rnacentral:rRNA from 1 species